rnacentral:lncRNA from 1 species
AAAUCUGGAGACGGCAGUCAGAUUCUUGAGCCAUAUACGAGUAAUAAUAGUGGGUCAAAUGAAACGGUGAAUGCCCGUGAUUUUUCUCUGUUGCCUAGUGGAAGAGACGCACAAUCUGGCCACGUUGGUAGUAGGCCUUCAAUAAGUCACAAAUUUCAGUUUCAUCCCAUGGGUAAUAUUGAUGUCACCAAUGAGUCUUGUCAUGAAAAGAUUUCUCAUCUGUCACCCACAUUGGAGCAGGGUUCUGUAGGAAACCAAGGGUAUUUUGGGCAGUCCAAGUCUCUUGGUCAGCCGGCUAUGAACAUGCGAAUAGACGGGGUAAAUUUUAUCAGUUGGUUUUAAUCAUGCUAUGUUUUAGAAAUUUGAAUUUUUUCUGAACAUUCUUUUGGUUUUUUUUUAUGGUAGGGACAUGUUUCACAAAACGAGUUGAAUUGCACAAAUGAGGCUUUUAAUGGCAUGGGAUCAGAUAAUUCACCUAGUACAUCUGCUUCAGCCGACAGAAGUGUUGAUAGGUAUAAUCAAGUGAAGAGUACUUCGUCAAGGUACUUGUUCUUUUGGUUGAAAAAGUUUAAAUUAAAAUUAUGUUUGCUUACACUAUUCUCUUUUUGAACGCAUUUUUGAAGUUAUAUAGCUAGUAUGACUUCAUUUUUUAGAUGGUUUGUCAAGUAACUGACAGAGUUACCUAACUAUGUCACCUUAAACUCUCAUAUGCUCGUUACUUUUCAUCUAGGUGUGAUCUCUGACACUGGUCAUUAAGUAGCUCUUAUUCCCUAAUUGGUUGCAAUCCGUGCUUUGCAAUUGCCUUUCUUAACUUUUUUUCCUGUGCAGGCAGACUAUGCUUGAGCUUCUUCACAAGGUGGACCAGUCACCAGAGAAUUCAUCGGAAACAAAUGUUAUUGGUAUUUCAGAAGCAAAUACCUCUGCAGACUAUAGUGGUCAGUUCCGGCAUAAUCAGUCUUCUGCUUCUCAGGGGUUUAAUCUACAGCUGGCACCUCCAUCUCAAUUAGCUCCCUCACCUGAUAACAUACAGUUUUCUCGGAAUUCUUUCCAGCCAUUGAAUUCGUUACAUAAUGGCCCUGAAAAAGGAGGAACAAGUCAAUCACGGUUUGCUCCAUGGGGGUCUAAUCAAUCUUUUCCUCAGCAAUCCACUCAUCAGGGACCAUUUCCUGGAAUCCUAGGAGGAUCCAACAUAACCUCUGGUUUCCCUUAUUCCAGAGGGUACAACCAAAAUCAACAGAUGCCUGUUGCUACUCGACAAUCAGCUGCUAAUCAAAUAGUCAAAUCAUCAUCUGAGUUUUCUACCCCUCAAGUUAAAGAAAGAGAUGAGAGUAGUGACUUUGAUCAACGUGGACAUUCAGCACAAAUACCUUCCCUGAUGAAUCCUACAACCCACAACAUAAAAGGAGGUUUAGCCGAAGGAUUUCCUAUGCUGUCUGCUUCUCAGCCUGUGGUUGUAUCCAGUUCGCCUCAACAAAGUUACUUUUCUGGUAUUAUGUCUAACUCACCAGCUGGUAUUUCAGCUCUGCAACAUCGGUUUUGGAACAAGCCAUCUAAGCCUCAGUCAGAUAUUUUACGGCCACAUCCAUUGCCCAGCAACAACAUUGCAGUUACCUUCUCAAGGCAGGAGAAGACUAAUCAAUUAUCUUCCCAAAAUGGAGGAGACUUGCCUUUAAGUGGGAGAGACAUGGUGAAUAUGCAUGAGUUACAGAGUGAAGAUACGGGUGCAAAACAAACAUCUGAUGUUGGUCCGAUGUUCUCCAGUAUAGUGCAGGCCAAUCAUCAAUCCUUUGACCACUCUCUUCCUUCAAACAACCUUCCAAAGGUAAGCUUAUGUCACGAUGAACAAAUGGGUGGAAGUGGGGAGGGCGAUGCACCCAAGAUGACUAUGAAGAGAGUUGAGAAUAGUGCUGUUGAUUCUCAAAAGGUAGCUCCCAAAGGGGAACAACAAUCACCUUCAAGGUCUGAUGGUUUAGUUAGAGAUGGGUAUAAUCACAUAACGAACCACAUGCCCCAUCUUGACCAAACUCUUUCUCAGAAUUCCUCCACUAAGAACUAUGCAGCCUCGGCUGGAGCAGAUCAUCCACAAAUCAGUCCUCAGAUGGCUCCAUCCUGGUAUAGUCAAUAUGGUACUUUCAAGAAUGGACUGGUGCAACCCGUGAAUGAUAAAGGGAGAUUAAAUCCCUUAAAGAUCGGAGAACAAUUUUCUAAUGUUGGGAGCUUGGUUGAUGGUACACAUUCUAUUCAAUCAUCAAAGCAAUUUAAUAUGCAGCAAAUGUCAGGCUCCGCACCAGGAGUAAAGGUUCCCUCAUCUGCUGAAUCAUUGCUUCAUGAUGCUACUGACAUGCAUUUAAAUGUUGAUAAACCAAAGAAGCGCAAAGCUGCCACAUCAGAACUUUUAUCCUGGAAUAAAGUAGUUAUGCAGGAUCCUCAGAGGCUUAAGACGCUCAGGUGAGUGGCUUAAUGAGCACUGAUAUUCCUAGUUCUUUUUCAUACCUAUUGCCGUAUUUAACUUUAUAUGUAUAUUCUUUACAGUGAGAACGAGAUUAACUGGGCCAGAGCAACUUAUCGAUUGGCUGAAAAAGUGAGUUUCCUCAUUACAUGUUUUACGCUGCUCUUUGUACAAAGUUGUUGAAUAGUUGCUUAUGUUCUCCCAGGUGGAAUUUGAGACUUUACUUGAGGAUAGCUCACCAAUCAGAUCAAAGAGAAGACUUAUAUAUUCAACACAACUCAUGCAACAACUAUUUAGCCCGCCUCCAGCUAGGGUGAUAUCUUUGGUUGCUAGCUCAGAUUAUGAGUUUGUUGCAUACACUGCUGCAAGAGCUGCGUUGGGAGAUGCAUGUAGCUCCAGUAGUACUAACACGAGUGAGCGCUUUUCGCCUCCGAACGAUUCAAACCUGUAAGGAUAUUUUCUUUUUGACCUUGAAAUGCUGGAGAUUUUCCAAAGCUUGAUGCGGAGUAUUGAAAUGAACCAAUCCACUCUUAUGUAGGUUUUCUGAGAGAAAAACUGAAAAAAUCAGUGACCAGUACAUCUCCAAAGCAGCUGAAGAUUUCAUUAGUAGAACGCGGAAACUAGAGACUGGGUUUGCAGGGUAAAAACCAUAGAUCUCUCUUGUAAAUUAAUUCCAGUUUGAACUGAGUACUCAAUUUGGCUUGCUUGAUCUCAUGGAGAUUUGGUCUUCUUGCAGGCUAGAAAAUGGUACUACAAUUCCAGACUUGAGAGUUGAAGUCCAGGACCUAGAGAGGUUUGCAGUGAUCAAUCGUUUUGCGAAGUUUCACCCACCAGCCUCAUCUGUUGACCGGACCAUGAAUUCGCUUAGGUUACACCCUCAAAGAUAUGUUACCAUAGCUCCAAUGCCUCAGAAUAUUCCAGACAGGGUACAAUGUCUAUCUCUCUAACUAUUGAUGGAUCCAUAAAUUUACUUUUUGGCCAAUCUUCUCUUUUCAUUGCUGUCAUAUAUCUCUCGUCGCAAAAUCUUUCUAUUUUUUGGGUGGGUACGAGUAAGUUGGUCAGAAUCCCGAGAACAGUGAAGGCCUCCAUUGCUAAAACCUCAGAGAUUUUCUACGAAAUAUGUAGCAUUACUGUAUGCAUAAUCACAAAUAUUGUAAGUCAAAUCCCUUUCUAUACUUUAGUAAAGAAACAUCGCUCAGUAAAGUACCCGGACUAGGUAAUAACACAUAUGGUUUCCAGUAAACACAAUAUAGCAAAAUUGUUGAAAGUUUGACACAGCUAAGAUUCUAAAGACCUCUCUCUUAAGUCAUUGAGUACUUUGUCAAAUCAUUUAUGCUUUAAGUCACUGAAACUUAACUAGAAGCUGGAACAGCGUUCGAGGUUUAGAAGGCAAUUCUAAUUUCUUCCCCUACCAAAUCAAAUAUCCCAUCCACCCUGUAACAAAUACGCAACAAUGGUUCAUAAGAAAUUAGUAUGUGCUCAGAAGAGUAGAAUCCGGGAAUGACAAUGGAGAAGCUGUUAAUAUAUGACCUAUGAGUCUCAAUGUUUACCUCUGCAAGCCAAGUUGUCAAGUAAAUCUGUAGGGUGAGAAGAAGUAUUAAAAAUUUACGAUAUGAUGAAAGCAGAAAGCAUUUUCUUGAGUCAAAUCAAAUCUCACACACCUGCAAAAUUUCUGCAGUUGGCUGGUUGGUAUGUGAUAAAGAAGGAAUACGAAUAUUAUUUUCUUUUACUCUGGGGAGAACUGGUUCAGAUACUUCCAUGGAAUAUAAAGAACAUUUGGUGAGAUGAUCAACUUCUCCAUGGUAAAGCUCAUCUGACCAACGGUUGUUGCCGGGUUGGGGAAACUUGGGAGCUUAAAGAGAUCAGUUCCAUUAUGAGCAAUCUCUGUUAAUAUGCAGAAACAUAUCAGAAGCUAAACUAGAGCCUAAGAUAUAUAUAUAUACGGAAAGAGUUAGGAAGAUUAUACCUUUAGCAAUACUUCGCGUUUAAACAUCUCCACAAGCUCCUCAGACGUCUUCUCUGUGUUCAUAUCAACAUUGCAAGUACCAAAACUAUCGUGUCUGGAUCUUACCAAAUGUAAAGAUAUUCCAAAAAUUAAACACAGGAACGCCACCACAAUCUCCAGCAUCAUCAUUUGGUAAAAUUUCGUCAAAUCUUCUCCUGAUCUUUGCUCUGUUAAGCUCGGUCAUAGUUUUCUCCGAAUCUUCUCUUGAGGCUAUUUAUCCACUCAUCCUUUAUGUUCUUUUCUUGUCUUUCAACGUAAGACAAUAUCGUCUGUCUUAGUUCUUUUGUCUAUCUAUCCCAAUUUGUGUCCCAACCUGACUCUAGUCUUAAAGAAACCAUUACAAAGAAGAAGAAAGCUUAAAUACUAGACAAUAAAGAGGUAAUUGGGCUUAAACACUAAGCAAAGUCCAAGCCCAAGAAGGCCCACUCCUUUUCAUAUUGGUUUGUAUCAUGCUCCUCCUUCGCUCGCCGUUGAAUUUUUUUUUCCGCACUGCUCUCUCUCUCUCUCUAUCUCGAUCACUUUAUCUCUCUCUCUCUCUCUCUCUCUCUCUCUCUCCCUAACUCUCUCUCUCUCUCUGUCUCUUCCCCUGAUUUCGUUAAUUCUUGAAUUCGAAAACCCUAAACUUUUUUUUUCUUAAGAGAAAUUGAGGAAGGUUAAAAGAAAAAGGAAAGCUUUUCUUUUUUUCAGGUUCCCAUUUGUUGUGUAAGGCUAAACGUGACACAAGCCAGUGUGUAAGUUCACAUCUCUCUGUCUCUUGUUUUUUCCUUCCAUUGUCAAAACCCUAACUUUUGUAGAUAUUUGUUAAAAGGAAAUGAUUUUUUUUUCCACCCAAUUCUUGUGGAGUAUCAGUAGGAAGUGUCUUGUUUGAGUUAAAUCCUCGGUUGUUGUAAUAAUGUUCAUGUUAACCUGAGCUUCGAUUUUGGGGUGAGAUUGGUUUCUGGCAAUUUUGAUCUCAAGUGGGUUCUCGGGAUUUCCAUGAAAUUUCUGUAAAUUUGCUAAAUUAGCUCACUUUUUGUCAGCUGCCAUAGAGGGUUUGUAGCGGUGAAAUGGGAAUUUUUCAGCUUAUUUUUUUUUUUCUUUUGUGUGACAUUUACUGCAAUUGAACUCCUUAGUUUACUGGAUUUCCUGCAAUUUAGUGUGUUUUAGUUUCAGACGCUGAGUUGAGCUUAGGCUUUGGAACCUUAGACCCAGUGUACGGUUUUAUAUUUAAGGAAAAUGUUCUGAUUCAGCUUUUCUCAUAACCUUGAGGGCGUUGCAUCGAUUCUAGAGUUUAAAAUCUUGUCCGAUCGUUUUCAUUUCAUGUGGUUCUGUUUCCUAUUUGCAUAAAUAACAUUUCUUUUAGCUUUCUUCUGAACCAAUUCUAUCGUAAUGUUAUUGUUUCACAUUUUGGGUUCAAUUUUAAAUUCUGCAGUGUCUGUUUUGUUUGUUUAACAGGAAAAUCUAUGAGUGCUCAGAGCAUGUCUGUUGGAGGUAGCUCAUGAAUCUCCGGAAAAAGGUGUUGACAUAUUCUGUUGUUUACAUAUUCGAAUUUCUUAUCAAAGGAGGCACAACAUUGAACUCAUUUCUNNNNNNNNNNNNNNNNNNNNNNNNNNNNNNNNNNNNNNNNNNNNNNNNNNNNNNNNNNNNNNNNNNNNNNNNNNNNNNNNNNNNNNNNNNNNNNNNNNNNCUAUUAUUUAUAGGAGCUGAAUCUAUGCCUGGAAACGAAUUUGGGGAGAAGAUCCACAAUUUCUUUGGACAGGAAGGCCUAUCCCAAGACCAGCGCCAGCCUCAGGUUGUUGACGGAAGCUGGUCCGGUUUUAGUAAUGGUUUAGUCAGCAACCAGAGGCAGAUAGACCCAUCCCUUAUUGCCAAUCUGAAGAGUUAUAACACGCAACAUUCUGGUAUGGAUUUUUUUUCCUUAUGACAAGGAAUUCCACAACUUCUACUCAUUCAUAACUACAUAUGUUGUUAGCUUUUAAACAUCGCUUUCUUUCUUACUCCAGUUGAUCCUCAGAGAAGUCAACCAAAUUCACAGCAUGGUUUGAAUUUUACUCAGCAACCUGUAAGGUCCGAGAUCUCUAGAAGUUUGUUGCAAGAACACCAACAACUCGCAAAUGGUUACAUGCAUGGGAAUCUUGGGUUGCCGACAAUGCCAAAUGGGGCACAUUUUUUGGGAAUGGACGUAGAAUCUAGUAGGGAUAGGUUAUCAGCGAGGGGCUUUACCCCAGAACUCCGUAAAAGUCCUAUGAGGUUUGAGAUGGAAGAAUCUCCGGUUAAUUAUGAGUUCUUUGGUGGUCAACAGCAAUUAAGCACACAGCUCCCUGGCAUGCUCCAUCCCUUGCCAAGGCAGCAGAUGACAUUCAAUGAUAUGCAACUACUAAAGCAGCAAGUUAUGGCUAAGCAAAUGCAUGAAUAUCAAAUACAACAACAUCUUCAAAAGCAACAGCUAGAGGCCGGGCAGCUCAAUUCUCUGAAUUUAAAUGCAGUCAACAGAAGUCGCUCAAGUGAUAAUCAUUCUCAUCCGUUGAUUAAUGGCAUUCCUCUUCAGGAUGCGUCUGGUAAUUGUUGGCAGCCUGGUACUAUGACAGGAAAUACAAACUGGAUGCAUCGCGGCAUCUCGCCAGCUGUUCAAGGUUCAUCCAGUACGGUCAUGAUUAACCAUGAGCACGGCCAGGCGCAACAAUUUGAACCUUCCUUGUAUGGUAUGCCCGUUACUGGGACAAAUGCACCUCAGAAUGCCCUUUCUUCCGUUCAGAUGAACAAGUUAGCUGCGCAGCAUGGUUCUGCAAACAGGAGUUCCUCUCUCACCAAUCAGCCAACUUCAUUUCUGAAUCAAGGUGAUGUACGGGACAGUCAUAUGCUCCCUAAAUCCACAUACCAGGAUAGAGUAUUAUUCUCCCAUACAUCAGUUCCAGAUUCAAAUAAUAGGUCCGAUUUCGAAAAUUUCCAGCAAGAUGAUUCCCGCGAGAGGAGUAUUUCAGUGCAGGAGGAAAUUGGUCAGAUGGAGGGUUCUGGAACAUUAGAAAAUUCAUCUAUGAAAGUGCCUGAAAAUAAUGCAUUGCAGAAGUCUUCAACAUUAGAUCCCACUGAAGAAAAGUUUCUGUUUGGUUCGGAUGACAAUUUGUGGGAGGCAUUUGGAAACAGCACUGAUAUGAGCUUGACAGGAAAUCUUAUCUCCAGUAGUUCUGACCUUUUUGACGCAUGCCCGUCCUUGCAAAGUGGGAGUUGGAGUGCUCUUAUGCAAUCUGCUGUAGCAGAAACAUCCAGUGAUGACGCAGGAGUACAUGGAUGGACUAACAACAAUACUGGCACACAUACGAAUUCUCAUACUGGCAGUAGAGCCCAGGAUUUGCCUGCAAAGGCUUCAAACGUACCAAGUGAGAGACUCCAGAGUGAUUCCACUCGGGCAGCUGUUGAACAUUUGCCUGGGAAGGGAAAUAAAUUUUCAGAUCAUGGCCUAUUGGAGAAGCCAAUGGCUCAACUUAGUCACAUGACUGGAAAUAUAUUUAAUUCUUCUAGUUCUGGUACUGAUGAACAGAAUAAUCCUUGUUCUAUUCAAAAUAAUGAGAACAUUGAAGAUAGAUUUGGUAUCUGGAAGGCUACGUCUAAUCAAAAUAUAGCUGCUCAGCUUGAACUUAAGUAUCACUCCACACAAAAUCCACAACCUCAAAAGGAAAGCUUCGGACUCAGCAUUGCCGGGGCAGGAAACAGUUCUAAUGCUUUGAGGGAUGUUCAGGGAAAUACCCCUCAACUGAAAUCUAGAGACGGCAGUCAGAUUCUUGAGCCAUAUACGAGUAAUAAUAGUGGAUCGAAUGAAAAGGUGAAUGCCCGUGAUUUUUCUCUGUUACCUAGUGGAAGAGACGCACAAUCUGGCCACGUUGGUAGUAGGCCGUCAAGAAGUCAUAAAUUUCAGUUUCAUCCCAUGGGUAAUAUUGAUGUCACUAAUGAGUCUUGUCAUGAAAAGAUUUC